GUUACCUGUUGUUGUGUCUGCGGUUUGUGUUUCCCAGACUAAUUAUUAGCCCGUGGUUUUUGCAUCACUCUGGUUCUUCUUACACCAGAAACAUCCAGUAAUGAACAGUUUCAAAAAUGUCGUGUGCUGUCAGUGGACAUGUGGACUCAUCCAGAAACGUUUUCUGGAACCUGUUGGUGCUUCAUUUCGUUCACAUGGAGACUAACGUUAGCCGCUGAUACAGAUCUUCUCGACCUCAAUCAUCAGAGUUACAAUAACCAGACGCCUCCGUCAGCGAGUCGCUGAUUACACACCUCCAGCUAUCGCUGCUGCUCCCAUUCACCUCUCCGCUGCUUCCACCGUGUGACACAAACCAGGACCUGGCGUGGAAUUUACUCACUCUGUGGA